rnacentral:miRNA from 1 species
CCAGGUGGGGGUCCAAUAAUCUCACUGGGGCCUCCAAGAAAUGUUAUAAUACCGGCAGUGGAGAGAAGAAGGACCCCACUUCAGAUGUAAUUAA